UACGAAGGGGGCUAGCGUUGCUCGGAAUCACUGGGCGUAAAGCGCACGUAGGCGGAUCGCUAAGUCAGGGGUGAAAUCCUGGAGCUCAACUCCAGAACUGCCUUUGAUACUGGCAAUCUCGAGUCCGGGAGAGGUGAGUGGAACUGCGAGUGUAGAGGUGAAAUUCGUAGAUAUUCGCAAGAACACCAGUGGCGAAGGCGGCUCACUGGCCCGGUACUGACGCUGAGGUGCGAAAGCGUGGGAGCAACAGGA
rnacentral:rRNA from 1 species